UCAAACGGCGAUAGCACGUUGAAUGCACUAAUUUCCAAUUGAUCACGGAGGUUAAGCUACGUUACGCGAGGUUAGUAUCCGAACGGGUGACCAUCUGGGCAAUUGCGUGCUUUUUCUU
rnacentral:rRNA from 1 species